CCUACGGGUGGCUGCAGUGGGGAAUUUUGGACAAUGGGCGAAAGCCUGAUCCAGCAAUGCCGCGUGCAGGAUGAAGGCCUUCGGGUUGUAAACUGCUUUUGUACGGAACGAAACGGUUCUUUCUAAUAAAGAGGGCUAAUGACGGUACCGUAAGAAUAAGCACCGGCUAACUACGUGCCAGCAGCCGCGGUAAUACGUAGGGUGCAAGCGUUAAUCGGAAUUACGGGGCGUAAAGCGUGCGACGGCGGUUAAAUCCCCGGGCUCAACCUGGGAAUUGCAUCUGUGACUGCAUAGCUAGAGUACGGUAGAGGGGGAUGGAAUUCCGCGUGUAGCAGUGAAAUGCGUAGAUAUGCGGAGGAACACCGAUGGCGAAGGCAAUCCCCUGGACCUGUACUGACGCUCAUGCACGAAAGCGUGGGGAGCAAACAGGAUUAGAUACCCGUGUAGUC
rnacentral:rRNA from 1 species